GGUGCACGAGAAGGCAGCUUGUCCAGAAGGUCUCCAGGAAGGACAUCUUGGGCAGCUGGAUUAUUUCAAAUGGCUCAAAAUGCCUCGAGUAAUGAAACUCUCGGCCCUGAAUCUUGACCAGUGGAUGGAAAGCAGGUCAGGCUAAAGCAGACGCUUGCUGGGCUGAAUCACCUUCCAGCAGCCGCACCGACAACGUCUCCAUUGACUGCGUGAGGGUGUUCAGACACCCAGCGACAUCCUCAGCUGGGCGGGUGAUUAUAGGUUUCCUCACCUGCAAACUGAACGUCUCUGCAGAGCUCCCUGGAUUCUGAAGGAAAUUUAAGGCAGCUACAUUUAAGUUGUCUACACUUAGCCAGAUGAAUCCCGCCUCCAAUGCAAAAUGCAAGAGCCUUCACCUCUCUGCACGUAUUUGCUGUAUUUUUCACGAGCAGUCAGAGGAAUAAAAUGGGAAUGAGUCAUGAAGAAACUUCUUCCUGUAAUGGUAACACGAGAGCACAGAGAUGCACUUUAUUUGGCUUCGUUACUGGCACGGCACUGCCAAAAUAAAAGCAGCCAACCACACAAGCCAGCGUCGAAGCACUUAUGACCUUUGCCCAGCAAAGGUUCACGGAUGAACCUCUGCAGCAUCCUUGCUGGCUCGGCAGGAGGCUGCUCCGUGCCACGAAGCUCUCCUACCUCCAUCCUCCUGGCCCAGAGCUGGUAAUUAUUUCUUUCUGCAGAGAGCUGCUGAAAACAGCUCUCUGCUAUUCGGGAUAUGCUUACUGAUGCCUUUAGCAGGCUUUCAAUACCUUCAGCCCUUCCGAGGGUCUGAUUGUCUCACCUGUGCUCCCCCCCCUCGGUUAUAACCACGUGCAAAUUACAACAACUGCUUGGGAUGCAACAAGUGACGGCUGCCUGGAGGAACUCACCUCUUGCUACAGGAGCGUCCAGACAUGAAAUUGCACCAAAUUACAGAAAAAGAGUGCUGACCCAAGAAUCCCAUGUGGUUGAGUCAGGCUGCUCCAGUAGGGAUGGGGAGUAAUUGAUGUACCGGAGAUGAUGACCUUUGCUGGGCUGAGACUGCAUCUCUCUGUUAUUCCUUCUUUUUUAUUUUUAUUUUUUUUCUUGAAGUCCUAUCUGCAUGCGGUUUGUUUUCAUCCAGCCCGAGAUGGAUGGUGCACGGAUUUAAUGAGGUCGUGUUUUCCCACCAGUUCCAUUUGUAGCCAUUUAAUGUUCAGCUCUGAGUAGUAGAUUGAGUUAAAGGCUAUUUAAAAGUCUAUGAUGCAGACAAGCA